rnacentral:rRNA from 1 species
UCGCAUUAUCAGAACUGUAGGGACGCAUGUGGAAAGCACGGGCCGGGAAUGGAAAGACCGGUACAAGCGGGGUAGGUGUACAAUAGGCAAAUCCGUUGUAUAAUCCGAAGACGUGAUGUGGAGCGAAAUAAAGUAGCAAAGCGUGUGAGCCAUGUGCCGAGAAAAGCUGCUAUUGUGUAAUGCGUGCCCGUACCGUAAACCGACACAGGUGGAUGAGGAGAGAAUCCUAAGGCCGACGGAAGAAGCAUUGUUAAGGAAUUCGGCAAAAUGACCCCGUAACUUCGGGAGAAGGGGUGCCUGCGAGAGCAGGCCGCAGAGAAUAGGCUCAAGCAACUGUUUAGCAAAAACACAGGUCUAUGCGAAACCGAAAGGUGAAGUAUAUGGGCUGACGCCUGCCCGGUGCUGGAAGGUUAAGAGGAGAGGUUAGCGUAAGCGAAGCUUUGAAUUUAAGCCCCAGUAAACGGCGGCCGUAACAAUAACGGUCCUAAGGUAGCGAAAUUCCUUGUCGGGUAAGUUCCGACCCGCACGAAAGGCGUAAUGAUUUGAGCACUGUCUCGACAAUGCAUCCGGUGAAAUUGAAGUACCAGUGAAGAUGCUGGUUACCCGCGCCAGGACGGAAAGACCCCAUGGAGCUUUACUCCAGUUUGAUACUGGGAUUCGUACUGCAUGUACAGGAUAGGUGGGAGACGAAGAAGGAUGGACGCCAGUCUGUCCGGAGUCGCUGUUGGGAUACCACCCCUGUAGUACUGGGUUUCUAACCAGUUGCCAUGAACUGGCAAUGGGACAAUGUCAGGCGGGGAGUUUGACUGGGGCGGUCGCCUCCGAAAGGGUAUCGGAGGCGCUCAAAGGUUCCCUCAGAAUGGUUGGAAACCAUUUGAAGAGUGCAAAGGCAGAAGGGAGCUUGACUGCGACACCGACGGGUGGAGCAGGUACGAAAGUAGGACUUAGUGAUCCGGUGGUAUAAAGUGGGAUUGCCAUCGCUCAACGGAUAAAAGCUACCCUGGGAUAACAGGCUUAUCACUCCCAAGAGUUCACAUCGACGGAGUGGUUUGGCACCUCGAUGUCGGCUCAUCGCAUCCUGGGGCUGUAGCAGGUCCCAAGGGUUGGGCUGUUCGCCCAUUAAAGCGGUACGCGAGCUGGGUUCAGAACGUCGUGAGACAGUUCGGUCCCUAUCCGGCGCGGGCGGAGGAUAUUUGAGAGGAGCUGUCCUUAGUACGAGAGGACCGGGAUGGACGGACCACUGGUGUAUCUGUUGUCGACCAACGGCAAGGCAGAGUAGCCAAGUCUGGAAGGGAUAAACGCUGAAGGCAUCUAAGCGUGAAGCCCCCCCCAAGAUGAGAUAUCCCUCCUUCGGGAGUAAGACCCCUUGAAGACUACAAGGUAGAUAGGGCAGAGGUGGAAGCAUGGCAACAUGUGGAGCUGACUGUUACUAAUAGGUCGAGGGCUUAAUAG